GACGAACGCUGGCGGCGUGCUUAACACAUGCAAGUCGAACGAAGUGGCGAACGGGUGAGUAACGCGUAAUCAACCUGCCCUUCAGAGGGGGACAACAGUUGGAAACGACUGCUAAUACAGCAUACUGAAGGCGGGGAUCGCGUCUGAUUAGCUAGUUGGAGGGGUAACGGCCCACCAAGGCGAUGAUCAGUAGCCGGUCUGAGAGGAGGAACGGCCAAAUUGGGAAUUAGACACGGCCCAGACUCCUACGGGAGGCAGCAGUGGGGAAUCUUCCGCAAUGGACGAAAGUCUGACGGAGCAACGCCGCGUGAGUGAUGACGGCCUUCGGGUUGUAAAGCUCUGUUAAUCGGGACGCGGUACCGGAAUAGAAAGCCACGGCUAACUACGUGCCAGCAGCCGCGGUAAUUC
rnacentral:rRNA from 1 species